rnacentral:rRNA from 1 species
GGACCCGCACAAGCGGUGGAUGAUGUGGUUUAAUUCGAUGCAACGCGAAAAACCUUACCCACCUUUGACAUGUACGGAAUCCUUUAGAGAUAGAGGAGUGCUCGAAAGAGAACCGUAACACAGGUGCUGCAUGGCUGUCGUCAGCUCGUGUCGUGAGAUGUUGGGUUAAGUCCCGCAACGAGCGCAACCCUUGUCAUUAGUUGCUACAUUUAGUUGGGCACUCUAAUGAGACUGCCGGUGACAAACCGGAGGAAGGUGGGGAUGACGUCAAGUCCUCAUGGCCCUUAUAGGUGGGGCUACACACGUCAUACAAUGGCUGGUACAGAGGGUUGCCAACCCGCGAGGGGGAGCCAAUCCCAUAAAGCCAGUCGUAGUCCGGAUCGCAGUCUGCAACUCGACUGCGUGAAGUCGGAAUCGCUAGUAAUCGCGGAUCAGAAUGUCGCGGUGAAUACGUUCCCGGGUCUU